CCAACUGUUUUAACAAAUGUUCCUCUUCUCUAAUCGACGUACGCACCUUUUUAGGGUGAACACGGAACGACGCACCUUUUCUACGGUGACCUCUUUUGAUAACGGAAGGACGCACCUUUUAAACUGAUUAAUAGAUUGAUGUAGUGGUUUGAGUAGUUGUGUGGUGUUCACUGAGAAAGCUUCAUUUAAGUCCCAAGGAAAAGAUUUGGUUCAUCAUUAUGAUCUGCACUAACCGCAGCCAUUUCGACAGCCACAAUUGAUUUCGAAUAGAUCUUGUCGAGAAUCUAAACCGCCACCGCCGUCACCGUUUUGGCGCUGAAGAUGCUGCCAUGGACGGAAUUGUAGAGCCCAAAGUCGAGAAAAUAAGAUAUCGAGCAUAGAUCAUGUCAUCUGAUGUUGAGGCUCAACUACGAUGACAAUUUCGAAGCUUCGUCUGUUAAAGCUUCGCUGUUUUAGGAUCGGAAGGUUACCGGAGCUAUGUAUGUCUUCUUUAAUCACAUUCCUCUCUCGCUAAAUCUGUAUUUUUAAAUUAGUUUAAAAUUGAACUUCCGUAAUUGAUCUAGACGUAGAUAUAUGUUUGAUUUAACGAAAAUUUCCAAACGUAGAGAUGUGAUGUUCUUAGGUGUCAGUGAAUAGGUUGCAGGGAUUCUUGAUGUAUGCAAAGGAGAAGGCGGUUAACUGGUUCAAAUUAAUUAUCAUUCCUUAUUUAACAUAUUGUCUUUUUUCUUUAAUCUUUUCCAUGUUCUUAACUUCGGUUACACGUUAUUUGUCUGAUUAGGCUUGUUCCAUAUCAGUGGCAAGAGAAUGAAGAUGUCUAUGAACAAUGAUACGCUGUAGUCUGAGUAGGCUUUCUUCUUGUGAAUGUGCUUGUUUAAUUGUAUUGCAGAUCCAGCAUCAUCCCUGGGACAGUGCUGAUUAUCCUUGCUGGUAGGUUCCCGGUUCACGGGCAAGAUAGUUAAAAUUACCAACUUCCCUCUGUUUCUCUUUCUAUGACUGCCCAUCAAGAUCAAUGGUGGGCUUGUCCUGAAUAUCUCUGAUGUUAGCCUCGAUAACUUUGAUGAUAAGCAUUUUGGAAAGGUAGCAGAGAAGAGAAGAACAAGAAGGGAGAAGAAGAGUGAUGGAGCCGUGGAUGUAUAUAUCUGAAUAAUACUUUCCUUUACUACUCUUUGAUUGUUAACAGUACAAUACUGAACACAAAUCCUAAGAGAAUUGCUUAAAGAUCCAAAACAAACUUCAUAAAAGCUCAAAGGAAAAAUACAAACGAGUCUACUUUUUUUUUGGCAAGAAACGAGUCUACUAUUUAUACUAAUCAAGUUUAUUGUUUUCUGUUACGCUUCAAACUCAAGCUCUCCCUUGUACUUCUUUCCUCUUCCUCUGCGGGCUGCCUUCCCCUCUCCAUUACGUAUACACUCCAAGGUCUAUCAGAGUCUUCGAGGCAAUUAGAGAGAGAGAGUUAGCAAUCUUAUUUGCGAAAAGAUAUAUCAACUGUUUUGAUGAAAGUAUAAUACAACUGGUCUCUUCAUUCACAGGAAGUGUUGCACAAGGGAAAAGACGACCACAAGGCUGUGGACGGAGUUAUGAUCAAAGCCAUUGUGGUAGUUUCAGAGUUGAAGACUUGCCUUGGCACAAGGUCCUCAUUGCACAAGGAACGGAGCGGCAUGAGCUUUUCUUUUACGCCACUGCAUGAACUUGUUUUCUAUUUCAAUAACCUUUUAUGUGCCCUCACGUAUUACUUUUUUUUUUGUUCUUGUCCACCUACCAGGGACAUAUUUUGGCUUGUACAUUCUAUAUAUUAUGUUUUCACCUUUGGUAUAAACAAUCUAUCUUAUUAAA